rnacentral:lncRNA from 1 species
AUUGCACGGGAGAUGUAUCCUUUCUCUUGUUGAUACACAUUUGGAUUGUUUCCAGUUUGGGGGUAUUUUAAAGCUGCUAGGAAAUUCUUGUUCUCAUUUCUAAUUUUUAGCAAGUAAUAUUAACUUGAAUUUGUUUCAUCAGACCUUUAAAAUGCAGGUUUGAACAUUUAGGAAUAUUGUACAGGGAAUGGAUCCACGAGACAUCUGCUUGUUUUUGAUGCAGUGUGAAGAAUGCAUGAUCAUUGCAUUCACAUUGAGUUGAGCUGGAUGGUUGUGAAGAUAUGCUUGGCCACUACUGAAUUACCUAAAAAUUAAUUCAUACCAGGCAGGAGCAACUGUGGCAUUGCCAAGUCUCAUUCCCAGCCCUCAUGUCCUAGAAGAUGAAUGGGAUGGAGCCAGAAGUGAUGUGUAAAAUGGGAUGGAAGCAGAAGAUAGAUUCCACUGCUAAAAACUGCAUGGAUUAUGGGAAGUUGGGGAUGAGAGAGGGGAAGGAGUAGCAUCUUGUUCCGUCGGCCUCCUUGAUCCAAGCCUUUGUUGUGAAUUCGUUUUUAC